UCAACUACUGCCUUCUCCAAUUCCAUAUUCAUUGGGCAUUGGAGUGGGGAGCAGAAAGAGUAAUGCAGUUAGUGUGCAAGAGACACAGUGAAGGAGAACAAAGAAACCAUGAUAUCAGAUACAUUACAAGCACAGUCAACUCUCGCUGCCGUUAGGAUAUUAAUUAUUAGUUCCUUACAAAGACAUUACAUAUAGUGUAUGCCAGGCUAUAUAUAGUUCCUUCUCCAACCACCUAGAAGAUUUCAGUCACGAAGGUCAUCUUUGUUCUCUUCACUAGUUGCCAAGUUGUCAUUACCCCAUGCCUCAUCAUUCACCCAUUUUCUGAAUUCAACUCAGCACUUUGU